rnacentral:rRNA from 1 species
UGGCUCAGGACGAACGCUGGCGGCGUGCUUAACACAUGCAAGUCGAACGAUGAUGCCCAGCUUGCUGGGCGGAUUAGUGGCGAACGGGUGAGUAAUACGUGAGUAACCUGCCCUUGACUCUGGGAUAAGCCUGGGAAACUGGGUCUAAUACUGGAUACUACCUCUCAUCGCAUGGUGGGUGGUGGAAAGGGUUUUACUGGUUUUGGAUGGGCUCACGGCCUAUCAGCUUGUUGGUGGGGUAAUGGCUCACCAAGGCGACGACGGGUAGCCGGCCUGAGAGGGUGACCGGCCACACUGGGACUGAGACACGGCCCAGACUCCUACGGGAGGCAGCAGUGGGGAAUAUUGCACAAUGGGCGGAAGCCUGAUGCAGCGACGCCGCGUGAGGGAUGACGGCCUUCGGGUUGUAAACCUCUUCAGUAGGGAAGAAGCGAGAGUGAC